CCGCUCUUGGUCUAGUUGGUUAUGGCCCUCGGCUGUAAAGGUCGAUUUUGAAUAUAAUUAACAAAUGAGAUACCGAGUGGUCCCCGGUUCGAUUCCGGGAGAGCGGA